AGCACUCAGGGACGUGCAGUGCACGGGUGUAGUUACUCAGUGGAUAUGUGUACGUCCUGUAACAUGAAUUUAGGUAUUUUUCGUCACCACAGAUAUAUAAGGGCUGGAACUUCAUUCAAGGCACAAGAUGAAUGUUGUGCAGUGAAUGAGCAGCUAUUCAAUAUUCUUAUCCUCCUCAUACAAUGUGUCACCCUGUGCCCUAUUUACGACACACCAUCCAUACCCUGUACUGAAUAGAGAACUGUUGAACUCCU